rnacentral:lncRNA from 1 species
GGUUCCCCUUCCUUUCCUCUGUCCAAUUCCCUGAGAAAGUGGCUGACAGAGCCCCCCCAGAAGUAGCUGGAGGGACCUCAGGCGAGGAGGACGUGGAAGUGGGCCUCUUCCGGGUCCUGGAGUUGCUGGGGGUGGCAGUGGUGCCUGAGUGAUCAUCCAAGGUGGCCGGGUCUUCUUCUGGCAUCGUUUUCUUUGUCCAUGUAAGAAGAAACACAGAAGUGGGUGAUUUGGGGUUUCAGGAUCUAGGGUUUCUCCAUGUUCUGAGCCUGAGACUCUGCCAGCCCAGCAGGUCUCCUCUCAUCCCGCCCCCACCCACACCCACCUGUCCUGGUCUUCCCUUCUCCUGCCUUCCUCUCUGCUAAACUGGGGACCAGAGAGCAUGGAUUCAAACACCAGUUCCUUCACUUUAUAGCAGUGUAACCUCAGUUGUGUGGCUUCACCCCUCUAUACCUCAGUUUCCCCUUCUGCAAAACGGGCAGAAUGCUAGUACCCACCACUUCCUAGGGCUGCUAUGAGGCUUAAAAGAGUAAAACUGAUAAAGCAAAUGGCACAUCGUAAGCUCUUCUUUGCUAAGUGAA